GCCGUUGGGUCGCCGCUUGCUGUCGCCUUGCCUAUUGUCGUCGUCUCGUCGGUUUCCAUCCGUGUCUCCGUCGAAGGUUCAGUAUUGGCUUCAACUUUCAAAUAGGAAUUGGGAGCUGGUGAAGAUAAUAACAUCUUCUGGAACUGAGUCUGUUGUUUCACUGCCUGAUAGAAAAGAACGGUUUUUUCGGUUGAACCACGGUUAGACUGGUUGGACCAGUAAACCAGUGAAUCAGUGACUAAAACGAUUCGAUGAUCGGUUCGGUUUUCAGAACCUUGAUUGAGAUAAUUCAUUUCCUAUUUUGUAUCGGUUUGUAUGAUGACUCUGAUUGUUUUCGUAACAUUACCUAUCCAACUUGCUCCCGUUUCUCUAUUGGCUCUAUAAAUCCUAACUAGCCCUUCCCCUCAAGACACAUUCCAUAUUUUCAUACAAGAACCAAUACUAUUACUAUAGGCACGUAGAAGGGGAAACAAAGGUUAAUAAAACAAAAAAAGGAAAGGGAUGGAUACUGGAACCUAUGGAUAUCCCAAACAAGGAGUGAAAAAGAUUGAUCCGUCCUAUGAUGUUCCAGAAGGAGUGGACAUUCGGGGAAGAUAUGAUGAGGAGUUUGCAAAAAUCCUCACAAAGGAUGCUCUGAAGUUUGUUGCUGAGUUGCAACGUGAGUUCAGGAGCCAUAUAAGGUAUGCUCUGGAGUGCAGAAAAGAGGCAAAGAGGAGGUACAAUGAAGGGGCUCUGCCGGGGUUCGAUCCGGCGACGAGGUACAUAAGGGAAGGGGAGUGGGUGUGUGCACCGGUUCCACCGGCUGUGGCUGAUAGGAAGGUAGAGAUCACAGGACCUGUGGAGAGGAAGAUGGUUAUCAAUGCUCUCAACUCUGGAGCUAAAGUCUUUAUGGUUAGUACUAAUUACCAACACAUCUUUAUGCGCAUUUGCAGUGUUUUACGAUGGGGUAUCCAUUUUACAUGGAAUAAAAUGUGUCGACUC